rnacentral:rRNA from 1 species
UACGUAGGAGGCAAGCGUUGUCCGGAUUUACUGGGCGUAAAGAGCGUGUAGGCGGCAUGGCAAGUCUGCUGUGAAAGCUCUCGGCUUAACCGGGAGAGGUCGGUGGAAACUGCCAGGCUUGAGGACGGUAGAGGGGGGUGGAAUUCCCGGUGUAGUGGUGAAAUGCGUAGAUAUCGGGAGGAACACCGGUGGCGAAGGCGGCUCCUGGACCGACACUGACGCUGAGGCGCGAAAGCUAGGGGAGCAAACGGG